UACAGAGGUCUGCAAGCGUUGUUCGGAUUCAUUGGGCGUAAAGGGCGCGUAGGCGGCGGGGUAAGUCUGGUGUGAAAUCUACGGAGCUCAACUCCCGAAAUUGCACUGGAUACUGCUCUGCUGAGAGGGCUGGAGAGGAGAUCGGAAUUCACGGUGUAGCAGUGAAUGCGUAGAUAUCGUGAGGAAGACCAGUGGCGAAGGCGGAUCUCUGGACAGCUCCUGACGCUGAGGCGCGGAAGGCUAGGGGAGCAAACGGG
rnacentral:rRNA from 1 species